CCAAGAUGGCGUAGCAAGUCAGACGUCUUUGUCCUGCCGUGUCCCUUGUAUAUAUCUUUUUACAUAUUUUUCUUCGCAUAUCCUUUUAAAAUAUUUUCCUAAGCCUCAACUUCGAAAUAGUCUCCUGCAACCCGCCUCACCCAAUGUGGCGUGGAUCUGUUUUUCUUCUAAAGUAUUUCUAUUUACUUCGGAUCUGGAAUCCCUCAACUGAAGCUAGCCAGCUAACUACCUACUGGUUAUCAGUCAGCAAACCAUUGCUAGCGGUCAUCAGCUAACCUUUAGCUCGGAAAGCUCUCGCCAGUUCGAACAACGUGACUCAAACCAGAGCAUAACGAACCUAUAAAUAUAUAUUUUUUCUCCAUAUCCCCGGAUUCCUACCGCAAACUCUGAACAUUUUCAUCUGGAUCUUCGCAACUAGCUAACCGCAAUCCCGGGUGACUACUCCUGGCUAGCGUUUCCAUCCCGGAGCAAGCACCAAUUAGCCUGAAGCUAGCCCGGCCAGGGCUCCUGUGCUACCACCGAAGCCCACUCCUGGGCUACAAUAUCCGGACCCCUUCUACUGCCGGUACGGGGCAUGGAACCCCGCCGAUCCUCUACGACUGGAAUACUGACAUAAUCUGCCCGAGGAUCCCAACAGGCCCCUCAGUUCUCUGCUGCCAAUGACUGGAACGAACUGCAAAAAUCUCUGAAGCUGGAGACUCAUAUCUCCCUCACUAGCUUUAAGCACCAGCUGUCAGAGCAGCUCACAGAUCACUGCACCUGUACAUAGCCCAUCUGUAAACAGCCCAUCUAUCCACCUACCUCAUCCCCAUAUGGUAUUUAUUUAUCUUGCUCCUUUGCACCCCAGUAUCCCUACUUGCACAUUCAUUUUCUGCACAUCUACCAUUCCAGUGUUUAAUUGCUAUAUUGUAAUUACUUCGCCACCAUGGCCUAUUUAUUGCCUGAACUCCCUUAUCUUACCUCAUUUGCACUCACUGUAUAUAGACUUUUUGUUUUCUUUUGUUCUACUGUAUUAUUGACUGUAUGUUUUGUUUAUUCCAUGUGUUACUCUGUGUUGUUGUAUGUGUCGAAUUGCUAUGCUUUAUCUUGGCCAGGUCGCAGUUGCAAAUGAGAACUUGUUCUCAAC
rnacentral:lncRNA from 1 species